GACGAACGCUGGCGGCGUGCUUAACACAUGCAAGUCGAACGGAAAGGCCCUUCGGGGUACUCGAGUGGCGAACGGGUGAGUAACACGUGGGUGAUCUGCCCUGCACUUUGGGAUAAGCCUGGGAAACUGGGUCUAAUACCGAAUAGGACCACGCGCUUCAUGGUGUGUGGUGGAAAGCUUUUGCGGUGUGGGAUGGGCCCGCGGCCUAUCAGCUUGUUGGUGGGGUAAUGGCCUACCAAGGCGACGACGGGUAGCCGGCCUGAGAGGGUGACCGGCCACACUGGGACUGAGAUACGGCCCAGACUCCUGCGGGAGGCAGCAGUGGGGAAUAUUGCACAAUGGGCGCAAGCCUGAUGCAGCGACGCCGCGUGAGGGAUGACGGCCUUCGGGUUGUAAACCUCUUUCAAUAGGGACGAAGCGCAAGUGACGGUACCUAUAGAAGAAGCACCGGCCAACUACGUG
rnacentral:rRNA from 1 species